GCAAUAUAGACCCUGUGACUUACCACUCCUCGCAACAGUCUGAUAUGAACUGAACAGGGUCCACGGCCCCUGAGAUCACUCUGGACUGUUUGCUUUUCCUGCCUGGAGCCCUUGAAACCUGAAGGGGCUUAGGGAAUUGGGCUGCUUGGGUUCAGAUGCAGACUCUUGCAAACCUCAGAAUCAGACAGUGAUGAUAUGACCAAGGAGCUUCGUACCCGCUGGGAGCACUAAUAACAACGGGGCCCUUUAAGCUUUUGGCCCAUGGUGGGAUCUUACUUGUUCCACACCUCCUGGCCCACUGCAUCUCCACUUCUAAGGAGAAACAAUGGACAAGUCUUCUGUUUUGAAUGUAGAGAAAGGCAAGAGCUUGCUGUGCUGAAAAGGCCAACAUUGAGCAUCCACUCCUCUGUGACAUAGAAGACACCAAUGCAGAAUGAUAGGGCUUCUGGAUGGACAUCACAUUCCCCGGUGAUAUUCAGUGUUUCAAAGGGAGACUGAUUCUUUCAAUAAGCUCGAGUUCAUUGUUCCCUUCUUCACUGGACAAGAAAAGUCCGGCUUUCUCAAGUUGGGCGGCUAACCUCUGGCGAAGAGUCACCGACUUCGGAAUCGCGAUUGCACCGCUCGGGGCAGGCAGUUGCCAUCAGCGAAGUCCCCAAAGUCUUUUGCCAACAGGCGGCUGACGUCGGCGCGCCCCUGCCGAGCUCUCCUUUUACUACAGGCGGCAGGCGGCUUUGCGGAGCCCCGCCCCCUCGCCUGCCCACACCUCGUAGUUUAUAUAGAAGGCGCCGCGGUGCUGAUUCGCGGCUCCCCGGGACGCGAGAGUUCUUCGGACGGAGAGCGCGAGCGAGGGAGCGGGCGAGCUCCGAGGAGGUGAGGGUGUAGGGUGCAGGUAAGGCUCACGGGUUCCUGCUCUUCCGCCCGCGAGCAACUCGGGGCCCCCUUUUUGGCAAAAUAAUGGGAACCUGAAAAUGGAUUAAACAGAGCCAAAGAAAGAGGCGACCCUCCCCUUCCCAUUGCCCGC
rnacentral:lncRNA from 1 species